CAUGGACGAAAGCCAGGGGAGCGAAAGGGAUUAGAUACCCCUGUAGUCCUGGCCGUAAACGAUGAACACUAGGUGUCGGGGGAAUCGACCCCUUCGGUGUCGUAGCUAACGCGUUAAGUGUUCCGCCUGGGGAGUACGCACGCAAGUGUGAAACUCAAAGGAAUUGACGGGGGCCCGCACAAGCGGUGGAGUAUGUGGUUUAAUUCGAUGCAACGCGAAGAACCUUACCAGGGUUUGACAUCCUGCGAACCUCUUAGAAAUUUGAGGGUGCCUUCGGGAAUGCAGUGACAGGUGGUGCAUGGCUGUCGUCAGCUCGUGUCGUGAGAUGUUGGGUUAAGUCCCGCAACGAGCGCAACCCACGUUUUUAGUUGCCAGCAUUUAGUUGGGCACUCUAGAAAGACCGCCGGUGAUAAACCGGAGGAAGGUGUGGAUGACGUCAAGUCAUCAUGCCCCUUACACCCUGGGCUACACACGUACUACAAUGCUACGGACAAAGGGCAGCAAACUCGCGAGAGCUAGCAAAUCCCAUAAACCGUGGCUCAGUUCAGAUCGUAGGCUGCAACUCGCCUACGUGAAGUAGGAAUCGCUAGUAAUCGCAGGUCAGCAUACUGCGGUGAAUACGUUCCCGGGCCUUGUACACACCGCCCGUCCUUGUGGAGGAGGACGCCGAAGGUGGGGCUAAUGACUGGGGUGAAGUCGUAACAAGGUAGCCGUACCGGAAGGUGCGGCUG
rnacentral:rRNA from 1 species